UACGUAGGGUGCAAGCGUUAAUCGGAAUUACUGGGCGUAAAGCGUGCGCAGGCGGUUGUGUAAGUCAGAGGUGAAAUCCCCGGGCUCAACCUGGGAAUUGCCUUUGAGACUGUGCAACUAGAGGAUGGCAGAGGGGGGUAGAAUUCCACGUGUAGCAGUGAAAUGCGUAGAGAUGUGGAGGAAUACCGAUGGCGAAGGCAGCCCCCUGGGCUAUAACUGACGCUCAUGCACGAAAGCGUGGGGAGCAAACAGG
rnacentral:rRNA from 1 species